rnacentral:rRNA from 1 species
ACGGGAGGCAGCAGUGGGGAAUAUUGGGCAAUGGGCGAAAGCCUGACCCAGCAACGCCGCGUGAAGGAAGAAGGCCUUCGGGUUGUAAACUUCUUUUACCAGGGACGAAGGACGUGACGGUACCUGGAGAAAAAGCAACGGCUAACUACGUGCCAGCAGCCGCGGUAAUACGUAGGUUGCAAGCGUUGUCCGGAUUUACUGGGUGUAAAGGGCGUGUAGGCGGAGCUGCAAGUCAGAUGUGAAAUCCCGGGGCUCAACCCCGGAACUGCAUUUGAAACUGCAACUCUUGAGUGAGGUAGAGGUAAGCGGAAUUCCUAGUGUAGCGGUGAAAUGCGUAGAUAUUAGGAGGAACAUCGGUGGCGAAGGCGGCUUACUGGGCCUUUACUGACGCUGAGGCACGAAAGCGUGGGGAGCAAACAGGAUUAGAUACCCUGGUA